GACGAACGCUGGCGGCGUGGAUUAGGCAUGCAAGUCGAACGGUAUCAUCCUUUCGGGGGUGAGAGAGUGGCGAACUGGUGAGUAACACGUAGGUUAUCUACCCUCAAGACGGGGACAACCCAGGGAAACUUGGGCUAAUACCGGAUGUGAGCAACUUUUAGUUGUUUGAAAGGUGGCGUAAGCUGUCGCUUGGGGAUGAGCCUGCGUCCUAUUAGUUAGUUGGUGAGGUAACGGCUCACCUAGGCAAUGAUAGGUAGGCGGCCUUAACGGGUGGUCGCCCACACUGGGAUUGAGAUACGGCCCAGACUCCUACGGGAGGCAGCAGUCGAGAAUAGUCUACAAUGGUCGGAAGACUGAUAGUGCGACGCCGCGUGAACGAUGAAUCCCUUCGGGGUGUAAAGUUCUUUUAUAUGUGAGCAGUGCUUCUUAUAUUAACAGUAUGGGGAAGAGAGAUAUUAGCAUAUGAAUAAGCAACGGCUAACUCCGUGCCAGCAGCCGCGGUAAA
rnacentral:rRNA from 1 species